AGAGCAUAUUUCCCUCCUCUUCGCUCACUGCACAAAAGUUCAACUGUUUUGAGUUAUUCUUUUCAUUCGCAGGACGAAUUUCAAAAUCCGGACUCAAUCCCGGCUGAUAGUUUCCGUUAGCUACUGAGCUAACAGUCGGUGUCAAGUUUCCAGAAAGUGUUUUAUCCUGGUCAGAGUUGCUGUGGAUCCAGAGCCUAUCCCAGGAACACUGAACAUGAGGCGGGAAUACAUCCUGAAUGGGACACCAGUCAUUCAAAUCGAGAACUGAUUUAAAGUUGCCAGGCCACUUACUGGCAUGUUUUUGGAGGGUUUAGUGGCAACUGGAGGAAACCAACACGCACACGGAGAACUUGGAAACCUUGGGAUCAAACUAUGGAGCACUGAAGCUGUGACACAGCCACCGUGCUGCCCACAGAUUUUUUUUUUCCAUUUUCCCUCACUUGUCUGAUUAAUGAAGUGAUAACAUGGAUUGUUCAAAAAUAAAGUCAAUGACUGAAACAGAACAUUUAAAGAUGAUUGGACAGAGAAGUAGGCAUUUAUUCUCAAUCAUUAAUUUGUCUCAGCUGUUUAGAGUCAGUGGCGUUAGUCAGAAGUGGUGAUUUGAAGCACCAGUGUGAAAAAAACAUAACCACUUAAAUCUGACAUGUCUGAUUUAUAGCCAUGAACUAAUCACUAAUGAUUAAGUGUUAUAAGGUAACUAUAAUAACCAUAAGCAAGGACUAUUUAUGUAGCUGGAACAAGUUGAAUGUCCCUGGUUUAGACUGUAAAUAAUGAUUAUAAGUGCACACUUUUUAUUUUUAUUUUUUUAUUUGAAAGAGUACCUUUCAUUUCUUUGCCGGUGAACUGUGAAACAUUUCUUAUUUUAAUCCCUUCUGUUUGCGCUCACCUCUAAUUGAGUUGAGACUUCAUGUCUCAGUGGAUUAGCAUGGGUGGUGUCAGUCAUGAUUUAGUGAGAACAUUGUUUUGAUCAGUGUGGGAAAUAAAAAUAUUUGCAAAGGAAAGCACCCUGUUAUUACACUUGUCAGUACCGUGUGGGUUAUAAAAACACUGCCCUGUGUUCUAGCCUCCUCUGUUUAGAUAAUUACCAGUUCAGAUUUUCACCUGGGAACCAUGUUUGUAUGUGCGUGUGUCUGCACGCGGGAGGGAAGACGUUACUCGCUAUUACUCAACACAGCCUAGUAUUUCGAAAAUUGUAAAGAAGUGCACAGUCCACAGAAUGUAAGAUAUCUUUCUAAUUAGGGGUUCAAGCAC